rnacentral:piRNA from 1 species
UGCACUGCAGUGCUGUUUACAGAGUGCAGA